GACGAACGCUGGCGGCGUGCUUAACGCAUGCAAGUCGAACGGAAAGGCCCUUCGGGGUACUCGAGUGGCGAACGGGUGAGUAACACGUGGGUGAUCUGCCCUGCACUUUGGGAUAAGCCUGGGAAACUGGGUCUAAUACCGAAUAGGACCACGCGCUUCAUGGUGUGUGGUGGAAAGCUUUUGCGGUGUGGGAUGGGCCCGCGGCCUAUCAGCUUGUUGGUGGGGUAAUGGCCUACCAAGGCGACGACGGGUAGCCGGCCUGAGAGGGUGACCGGCCACACUGGGACUGAGAUACGGCCCAGACUCCUACGGGAGGCAGCAGUGGGGAAUAUUGCACAAUGGGCGCAAGCCUGAUGCAGCGACGCCGCGUGAGGGAUGACGGCCUUCGGGUUGUAAACCUCUUUCACCAGGGACGAAGCGUAAGUGACGGUACCUGGAGAAGAAGCACCGGCCAACUACGUG
rnacentral:rRNA from 1 species